rnacentral:misc_RNA from 1 species
AUCCAUGAUUACGAAGUGAAGAUGCGCAACGUCACCCGCUUCCUUGAGGAUGGCGACAAGGUCAAGGUGACCCUGCGCUUCCGCGGCCGCGAAAUGGCGCACCAGGAACUCGGCCGCGAGGUGCUUGAGCGCAUCGCGACCGACACCGUCGAACUGGGCAAGGUCGAAUCCAUGCCCAAGAUGGAAGGCCGUCAGAUGAUCAUGGUGAUCGGGCCCAAGGCCUGACCGGCCUUCCGAACCAUGGCGCAUGACCCCGCCGACAGCCGCCCGCGCUACGCCGAACCGGUCUCCGGACCGGA